rnacentral:rRNA from 1 species
UAGGGAAUCUUCGGCAAUGGGACGAAAGUCUGACCGAGCAACGCCGCGUGAGUGAAGUAAGGUUUUCGGAUCGUAAAACUCUGUUGGUAGAGAAGAACGUUGGUGAGAGUGGAAAGCUCAUCAAGUGACGGUAACUACCCAGAAAGGGACGGCUAACUACGUACCAG